GGACAACUCUGUUCCAAAUUCCAAAGGGAAGACUUCCAGGCUGCUGACGCCAUCCAGGCUUCCAAUGGAAAUGGCGAUAAAGCCUGUUUGUUUGUUUGUUUGUUUGUUUGUGAAGAAAACCCUCAGCCACCUCAACUUUAAGGUUAAGCCCAGCCGCCACCCAAGCAUUCUUCAUUUUGUCUGUCACCCGAAAGCCACUGAUACCCAGCCUUUUUUGUGGGGGAUUAAUGGUCCCAUGAAUAUGGAGCAUGGAGAUCUCUGGCUCAGCUUGAGUUAAGACCCCUUUCCAUGAUAGGCUGGUGUUAUGGCAACUGUUGCAUGGCUUCUUCCUGAACUGUUUAAGUAACAUUUUAAAAAAACCGAUAUGUGGGGAGAAGCCCAUUCUGCAAGCCUUUCCCCUUGACAGUGUAGACGUAUGAAGGGACCACAGCACGGGCUCCUUCCAUGUGGUCCAGGACUUUUCACAUUAUCUGAGCAGGGUGGGAUGGAAUUAUGCUGCAGCAGGUCGCAAACCAUCAAUACAAUAUGAACCGGGUUGAUUUGGCCAUUAUUCUUCACACAUGGUAUGCUAAUGUUUACAUAGGCUAAAAGUAAAUAUAUUACUAAUGAUGAGUUAAAAUCCAAACUGUUGUAAGUUAUAAAGUUUUCAUUUUUUAGGAAAAUGCAAGAGAGGGGAAUGUAGAAUUUUUAACCACCUUUUGACAUCAGAAGCC